UUAGCAUACAAAUAUAACUUAGUUGGUUAGCCUGAGCGAUUUGAUGGACAGCUCUGACUUCACUGAGUUAGAGCAAAAGCUAAGCUGACGAAGAACUGCAACCUUACAGUUUUGAACUGGAAUUUACAGUGGAAUAAUUGCAAGAGUGAGAGGGACAGACAGAGGAGGACGAGACAGCCGAAGCUAACAGAUGCCUACCGAGACGGAGAGCCUUUGCUGCCACGAAUGGGAUCGAGGGCAACGGCUGUUGGUAGAAACCGAUCACUUGCAUCACAGCUGAUAAUAACUCUGAACCCUUGCUACAUCCUGCAGUACUUACCAACUUCUUCUGCAGCAAUAGGAGAAUUAAUUGAAAGUAGUAUCCACAACCAAGAUUUUGAUACAGCUUGUUAGGUAGAUAUGCUUACGCAAUUACUCCUCUGUAUAUCCCGGUUCAAAACUGUACGGUUGUAUUUCUUCAUUAUUUCUUCAUCAAAAUAUGAAAAGCAUCGAAAAGCUCGUCCUCUAUCUCGCGAAGUCAGAGCUGUCCAUCAUAUUGCUCAGGCUAGCCAAGUUAGGUUACGUUGUCAUAAAAUUUCUUCUUAACCGUGUGAAUUCCUUACCUGUUUACAUUUAGGCAGAUGUGCACGCAAGAUAAAUUGCUAUCUUCGUUUUGGUCGCAGCACAUUCGACACGUGAGGUCCUUAAAUUAUUUUUUACCGUGAAGAGUGCCUGACCCGCAAAUGUAGUUUAAAAAUGUGUUUACACGGUGGAAGUUGUAUAACAUAUAACAUUAUCGGUCCACGCUGUUUAUUUACAGGGGACUUUUAAGCAAGUGUGUAAUGCUUUUCAGGCUAAUGUUUUAGAGAAGUUAGCUUAGCCUACUCGCUCUUAGGGUCAUCCUAGCUACAUAACUUCAGAUCAGUCUUAUGAAUACAUAACUGGGGAAAGCAGCUUAAUUACGCUGCUCAUGAAGUAAUGUAGCAUGACCCUAAGAGCGAGUAGGAUCUGAUCUAAAACAGAAGUUUUGUCCCAUAUUUAGGAAGUGGCUACGCUGACGGUGAUUUUAAAAAGACCUACACAUAAUUUAAGCAUUUAAUCCAAAUAAUCUCAACUGAAACUGAUAUUGAAUGUAUACGUUUUAGUGCAUCCUGAGAUUCAUACAAGCCGCAUAGCCUUCUCAUGCAGGCAGCCUUUCCUCUUCAGUUCUGAUCAGAUAGAAACUUUUACUUCCUUCUGGAAGGUGGUUUAGGGUAAUGGCAAUGAGUACUUGCUGUGCUUUUUAAACAAAAUAAGUUACAUAUUUAUAGUGCAUAUUUAAAAUGGCAAAACCAUUAUUUAAGCUUUUUAUUUAUUUAUUUAUUCAUUUAUUUUACUGGUGACCUGUCCAGGGUGUAUUCAUGCCUUUCACCCAAUGUAUGCUGGGAUAGGCUCCAGCCCCCCUGUGACCCUGUUCAGGAUAAGCAGGUUAAGAUAAUGGAUGGAUGGAUGGAUUAAUUUAUUUUUCUACUUAUUUAUUUUUUCCAGACAGAAUGCCCAGAAGGGAUUCAAUUUGACAGAGUUUGAUCAUUUUUACAUGCCAAAAAAUGGCAAAUGCCAGUAUGAACUACGUACAAAACAUGCUGUGAUUUCAUGCUGUCAUUAUAUAAUUCCAAUAUGGAAUAAAGAGCCAAAACACCCAAAAAAUCACUGCAGUCUUUUACUGAGGAGUUAACUAUACAUGGACACACACACACACACACACACAGGAAGGAAGAUAUCAUUAAGUAUAUGUAUAAGUAAUGCCAUUUUUACCUGUCUUUGCUGUGCCACUUUGAAAUGCAGCCCUGACCCAUGCUGGCUGAGGGGCAUUUUUGGGGGCAACAGGGGCUUGGACUGCUGGCAGGCAGGCAAGCUGGGGUUGUGGAACCGUUGUGGGUGCUGGGGCUGGAGUGGGUUUGGGCUGGGAGCAGUCUGCGGAUGUUGCUGUUCCUGGUUCUGGUAGCGCAGGGGGUGUUUGCUUUGGGGCAUCCCCAUAAGGGAAGUCUGCUGACUGUGGGGUUUGUGGCCGAAGUGCGAGAGUGGCUUGCUGCCAAGGACCUUCACUUCUGAGGAGGGACCGGCAUUCCCGCUGCCAUUAAGUUUGAACAGGCAGUUGCUCAUACCCUUGCGCUGGGGGCUAAGCCUCAGCUGACUGCCAGUCUUCUCCUGUCCAAAAGUCCCCAUGGAGGAGUGGGGAGCGACGUUAGGCGACCAGUUGGGCGCUGCCCUGGCCUGGUUUUGCUGUUGGUGCUGGCGGUGGGCCAGCAGGUUGGAGCCAGGCUGCUGAUGCUGCUGAUUGUCCAGCUGCUCUGUGCGGGAGCCCUCCGUCCCGCCCGUCAACGAACACUGCGACUCCUCUGACCCCUGACCGGGGUUGUGGGCGACCGCAGAUGAGAGUGAGGGGCCCGCCGAAGCUGGGCGAAGCUGGGGUGACCCGACUGAGGCGUGCCCGUGGCUGAUUUUCUCCAGCUCUAGGUCGUCGAAGGAUGGCACAGACUUGCUGAGCUCGUCAAACAGGUCUUGCAGAUCGGGGUCCAUCUCCUCCUCCUUGAAGUCAAAAACCAUGGUGGAGGGGUCUGCGGUUGACGACCGGCCACACGAGCGAGUCUCUCCGGGCUCCUUCUUCAUCUCCUUCAGGGUCAGGCUGAAGAGGUCGCCGCCCAAGGGCGGGGUCAUCACGUUCCUGUCCUUCCUCUGCAGACCGUGGCUUAUUGCCACCUCCUCUGGCCGGGAGUGGUACUGCCCAUUGCUGAACGUGCAGCCUGAGUGUCCCAUAGCCCCACCUUCCAAGCAGACACGCUUGAAGUCCGGGCCAAAAGCCCCGCCCGAGAGCCCAUUCUGCUUCACGCUGUAUCCCAGCGGCUGCCCCUCGAUUUUCCUCCUCAGAGACCCUUGAAGCUGCAAAGAGCAGAAAUAAUGAUGAUCAAUAAGCCAGUAUUAAAGUAAUUUCAAUUAUACUGUGCAGUACAUAAAUUUUUGGACAGAGGUAAACAUUUCUGGUCUUUUGGCACAUUGAACUGGAAAAGAAAUAAUGAAUAUGAGUGCAGUUUGCAACCUUUAACAUUUACAUCCAUAUCAGGUGAUCUAUGUAGGAAUUACAUCCGUUUUUAUACAUAGUCCCCCCAUUUUAGGGGACCAAAAUUAAAUGGGUAAUGCCGGUAUAAGAAAGCUCUCUUUAGGCUUUUGAGUGCCUCUGGAGUCUGUUAUUGGCAAUUGCCAACAUGAUGACCAGAGUGGUGCCAAGGACUGUGAAGGAAGCCAUUAUGAGGCUGAGAAAUAAUAAAAAGCAGUCAUAGACAUAAACAAUAGGCUUACUCAAAUAAACUGCGGCUGGUAGGCUGAGGAAGACUUCUACAAUUGAUGACAUUACAUUACAUUACAUUACAUUACAUUACAUUACAUUAAUGACAUUUGGCAGACACUCUUAUCCAGAGCGACGUACAACAAAGUGCAUACCCAUAACCAGGGAUAAGUGCGCUGAAAGAUCCUAGAGGGAAGUACAAUUUCAACUGCUACCAGUACAACAAAGAUAAGGACCAGGGCCAAUUUGAAUUUAUUUUUAAUAAAAAAAAAGGUUUGGAGGCUAAAAGGAAGGAUUACAGUAAGAAAAUAGUUAGAUAUACAGUAAAAGGUCCAGUGUUAAACUCUAACAGAGUACAUAUGGGUCCAAUAGGAGUGCAAUAGGGGCUAUACAACUGCGUAUCCUUAUACCAUAUUGCAGUCAUGUUCAAUUCCAAUGUUGCAUAAAGAGAGCAUACAUUCAAUAUUACAAGAGCACGUUCUAUAUAUAAUUAAUGGCCUCUUAUCAAUGACACCCUUUGAUGUUCUUCAACCUAUUAAAAUUACAAUCAUAAUUCAAAAUAUUCGUAUAUAAAGAACCCCUCGUUAAAAUUAUCUUUAUGUAAAUGUAUCUAAUUUUGCUAUUUGCUUCAAGGCUUCUCAGUUCAUUCUCUCAACCCUGUCUUCCAUGUUUGCAGAAGCCAGAGAAGUAAUUAAUAUUUGAAGUUUCAAGGUUUUCUCUUUGUACUCAGCAUUAAUGCCAGAUGCAUACUGUAUGAGAAUUUCAUCAAUGAUUUCAUGCAUGGUUUAGAGAUGAAGGGAACCGUAUGCUCUCAUAAUGGGGUGAGAUAUGAUAUAAUAGGCUUAUGCCAACAGACCUGUUUGUAUUUCAGGGAGUACUGUCUUCAUAUUAUAGCAUUUUUAUGUACUGCAGUUCAGGAAUCAUUCUAUUGUCUGACUGUUUUUGUGACAUUGUUUCAAUGGAUGUAACAAUAUACUAAACACAACAGGUUUUUGUAAAGUUGUUGAAUGAUGUCACAAUGACAAAUUAUUUUUCAACAGAUAUUUGUAACUGCUGCCUUAACUAAGGAAGUCUACCUGAUAUUAAAUCUGAAGAUAAAUGUA